rnacentral:lncRNA from 10 species
CGCCAUGUUGGCCAGGCUGGUCUCGCACUCCUGACCUCAAGUGAUCCGCCUGCCUUGGCCUCCCAAAGUGCUGGGAUUACAGACGUGAAGCCACUGCGCCCGGCUGGUAUAGAUAUUUAAAAAAUAAGAAAGUUAGUUUCUGGGUCACGGGAAACUCAUGUUUAUGUUACCUAACAAAGGCCUGAAGUGGAAAUACUUCAUGUUGUUGAGUAAGCUGAGAGGUUGCUGGCAGAGGUGGUUGGGGCUAUGUGCCUGGAGUGAAGAUUCUGCCCAUUGGUCAAGAGACCUCCCUCUCAGAUGCUGGCUCUGCCCCUGCCUUUGGGGGUCGACCCUUGUACU